rnacentral:sRNA from 1 species
AGCAGCCGCGGUAAUUCCAGCUCCAAUAGCGUAUAUUAAAGUUGUUGCAGUUAAAAAGCUCGUAGUUGAAUUUCGGGGUCAGCAGGUUGGUCGUGCCAAUGGUAUGCACUGGCCUUGCUGAUUCCUCCCUCUUGAUGAGCCGUAAUGCAAUUAAUUUGGUGUUGCGGGGAAUCAGGACUGUUACUUUGAAAAAAUUAGAGUGUUUAAAGCAGGCAUGCGCUUGAAUACAUUAGCAUGGAAUAAUGAAAUAGGACGUUUGAUCCUAUUUUGUUGGUUUCUAGGAUUGACGUAAUGAUUAAUAGGGAUAGUUGGGGGCAUUAGUAUUCAAUUGUCAGAGGUGAAAUUCUUGGAUUUAUUGAAGACUAACUACUGCGAAAGCAUUUGCCAAGGAUGUUUUCAUUAAUCAAGAACGAAAGUUAGGGGAUCGAAGACGAUCAGAUACCGUCGUAGUCUUAACCAUAAACUAUGCCGACUAGGGAUCGGAUGAUGUUAAUUUUUUAAU